rnacentral:sRNA from 1 species
GAACUCAGCUUUGAUUUUUUUUAAAAAAAUUGCUUCUGGAUCUCCGGCGAAUUCCUUCUCCUUACUGACCUCAUGUUUCGAGCAUUCAAGAAUUGCAUCAGAAUUUCUGCACUGAUGCUUUGCACAAAAAUCUGGCUCUCCCUCAAAGAAUGCCCCAUUCCAAGUGAUGACUACGGUAUCAGCGUGGCACAUGAAAGCCAACCGAGCCAUGUCGAUGCAGUGGCCUUUAUAAAUAUAUGAAAUACGGCUGAGGAAUCGAGCUCAUCCAUUCGAUGAUAGCUGUUGUGGACAUAUUGGCGGAUCAUAUCCUGAGUCAGGCGAUAAUACUCCUUCUGAUUCUCGCUUCGUCUAGGGAAAACUUACCACACAGUGUAACUGAUGAAACACCGUUAGGGAUGCGAAAUAACGUCCUUAUGACGUAGAUACUUCAACACUCGUC